AAAAAAGGUAAGCUACUAAGAGCGAAUGGUGGAUGCCUUGACUGGUAAAGGCGAUGAAGGACGUACUAGACUGCGAUAAGCUACGGGGAGCUGUCAAGAAGCUUUGAUCCGUAGAUUUCCGAAUGGGGCAACCCAGUAUAUAGAGAUAUAUACUACCAUAAUGGAGCGAACGAGGGGAAUUGAAACAUCUUAGUACCCUCAGGAAAAGAAAUCAAUAGAGAUUACGUCAGUAGCGGCGAGCGAAAGCGUAAGAGGGCAAACCCAGUGCUUGCACUGGGGGUUGUAGGACUGCAAUGUGCAAUAAGUAAGGUUAGUAGAACACUCUGGAAAGUGUAGCCAUAGAGGGUGAUAGUCCCGUAUACGAAAACCAAACUUUAGCUAGCAGUAUCCUGAGUAGGGCGAAACACGUGGAAUUUUGUCUGAAGCUGGGUCGACCACGAUCCAACCCUAAAUACUAAUACCAGAUCGAUAGUGCACAAGUACCGUGAGGGAAAGGUGAAAAGAACUGAGGUGAUCAGAGUGAAAUAGAACCUGAAACCAUUUGCUUACAAUCAUUCAGAGCACUAUGUAGCAAUACAGUGUGAUGGACUGCCUUUUGCAUAAUGAGCCUGCGAGUUGUGGUGUCUGGCAAGGUUAAGCACACGCGAAGCCGUAGCGAAAGCGAGUCUGAAUAGGGCGCUUAAGUCAGAUGCUGCAGACCCGAAACGAAGUGAUCUAUCCAUGAGCAAGUUGAAGCUAGUGUAAGAACUAGUGGAGGACUGAACCCAUAGGCGUUGAAAAGCCCCGGGAUGACUUGUGGAUAGGGGUGAAAGGCCAAUCAAACUUCGUGAUAGCUGGUUCUCUCCGAAAUAUAUUUAGGUAUAGCGUUGUGUCGUAGUAUAAGGGGGUAGAGCACUGAAUGGGCUAGGGCAUACACCAAUGUACCAAACCCUAUCAAACUCCGAAUACCUUAUAUGUAAUCACAGCAGUCAGGCGGCGAGUGAUAAAAUCCGUCGUCAAGAGGGAAACAACCCAGACUAUCAGCUAAGGUCCCCAAGUCUUACUUAAGUGGAAAACGAUGUGAAGUUACUUAAACAACCAGGAGGUUGGCUUAGAAGCAGCCAUCCUUUAAAGAAAGCGUAAUAGCUCACUGGUCUAGUGAUUUUGCGCGGAAAAUAUAACGGGGCUAAAGUAAGCACCGAAGCUAUAGACUUAGUUUUAC
rnacentral:rRNA from 1 species